ensembl:lncRNA
AUAAAAUAAAAUAAAUAACAACUCUCCUCUCCCCCGAAGACUCCACCCAUAUUUCCCAGGAUGAAGAUUCCCCACCCACCAAACAGAUCUUUAUUUAAUUUUAUUUUAUUUCAUGCUCUGUUGGUGCAAGGCAGUUUUCCCUCCUCUCCCCACCCUCUCUCCUUCCUUCUUCUAUUUAUUCCACCCCCCCAUCUCUAAUAUCAUUUUCACCCACCCACAGCGACGCCGCAUGCUUGUAAUUUUCUUCUGACCCUAAUGGCUCCGGUUUCCCCUCAGUAUUUAAGCGGAACAAGACAGAGCCGCCCCACCCUGUGUCCUGUGUGCCCAGAACUUGGACUCUCUCCCGUCUCCCCCUCCCUUGUCUCUUUGCACGGAAGACAAAUGGAGAUCCUGGAGGACAGGAAAGAAAGAUCAGGGAGGGAAAGAUUGCGGAGGGGAAGCCAUGUCACAGCAGAGCCGCAGAGAUGGGUGAAGUGUUUGCAGCUGCAGGUGAGAAGCGCACGCGGUCCUGCGUUAUCAGUGACACUCGCGAGGCCGUCUCUGCAUCAAAGACUCUGCAGUCCGGGGACUCCCGGGGCAGAGGGACCCAAGCGUAAAGUAGCUACACAGUUAAGAGCCUCCUUCACUCAAGCCGGUGUUCCUCACUCCGUCCAUUUACCAUAGGGGAGUGAACUUGAGGUUUCUUGGUGAGUUUGGACCGAGAGCCUCUGGAUGCUUCGUCCCGGAGAUAGGGCCUUGGGACAAAAAAAUGGAGAGACAGACACAGAAGGAAAGAGGAAGGCGGCGGGGGCGCAGCGGACCAGGCGGGGAGCGGGCCCUUCCGGGUCUUCGCGGCCGCGGGGGUCGGGGCGUGGAGCGGGGCUGAGGCUCGGUGCCCGGGUCCCGGGCGGAGGCGGCGGCGGCUUUGUUGGCGGCCGGCUCCGGGAGCAACCUUGAGCGCGGGCGCGGAGACAGUGAUUUAGGGGCUGGCAUUGAAGCGUGAAGGUAAAUGGCCACAUUUCACCGUCAGAAGGUGAGCGGGAGGCGCCCGCCCCUUCCCUUCCCCCAAGGCCCCGGGGUGGGGGGUGCGGGGGAUCGGCCUGUCGCGGGCACCCGCCGAGAUCCCGGCUGAAUCCCUGAGGCCCUGCGGCCGCAGCCGCCCCGGAGGAGGGAAGCCGGACGCCCAGCACUUCUUUCCUGACCCGUUCAUAUCUGGGGAAGUUAAGCGAUCUGGGGCCCGAAGCUGCUUCAGGGGAGAAUCUGAGAGGCAAAGGCCCACAGCCCGGGGACCUGAGGGACCCUCUGCUGGUCAGGACGGGGUGCGGGAGGCAGCUUAACUCUUCACAGGGGUCCUGAGGUCUGGUCGGCCUUCUGCUCACAGUGCAGAUGUGGAAACAGAGGCUCAGGAGGUUAAGUGACCUGCUGCAGACCCUGCAUCUGGGGAGGGAUGAGCAGGGAGGGAUCUAGGUCUGCGGGACCCCCCAGCCUGUGUCACUGAACCCUAAACCCCCAGCAGGUUGCCUCCAAGAGCUCUGGGAUCUGGGCACUGGGUGUGGGGGAGCUUGUGGGUGCAGGAAGUGUCGGCAUCCAGCAACCUCCUGCUGUUUUGAAAAUAAUACAGGAAAAUAAUCAUGAAAAUAACUUCUGCUCUUCAUGUUCCGAGGUGGCUGAGACAGAAAAGAAU